AAGAAAUGCGGGCAGAGAGGGCCCAAAAACCCCCUCUGCCAACACUUCCCACCCUGCCCUUUUCCAAACCGUUACCUCCUCCCCGGCACCCGUGCCGGGCUGGCAAACAAAACAAACCUUGCAGUUUACAGUCAAUUCAGUUUUCAAAAACAAAAAUCA
rnacentral:misc_RNA from 1 species